GACGUAGGGGGCGAGCGUUGUCCGGAUUUAUUGGGCGUAAAGCGUGCGUAGGCGGCUGCGCAAGUCGGGUGUGAAACCCCGGGGCUCAACCCCGGAACUGCAUCCGAUACUGCGUGGCUAGAGGUAGGUAAGGGAGAUCGGAACUCCUGGUGUAGCGGUGAAAUGCGCAGAUAUCAGGAGGAACACCGGUGGCGAAGGCGGAUCUCUGGGCCUUACCUGACGCUCAGGCACGAAAGCUAGGGGAGCGAACAGG
rnacentral:rRNA from 1 species